rnacentral:misc_RNA from 1 species
GAUGAAGAACGUAGCGAAAUGCGAUAAGUAAUGUGAAUUGCAGAAUUCAGUGAAUCAUCGAAUCUUUGAACGCACAUUGCGCCCGCCAGUAUUCUGGCGGGCAUGCAUGUUCGAGCGUCAUUACAACCCUCAGGCCCCCGGGCCUGGCGUUGGGGAUCGGCGGAGCCCCCCGUGGGCACACGCCGUCCCCCAAAUGCAGUGGCGGUCCCGCCGCAGCUUCCAUCGCGUAGUAGCUAACACCUCGCGACUGGAGAGCGGCGCGGCCACGCCGUAAAACACCCAACUCUUCUGAAGUUGACCUCGAAUCAGGUAGGAAUACCCGCUGAACUUAAGCAUAUCAAUAAGCGGAGGA